GGCUCAGAUUGAACGCUGGCGGCAGGCCUAACACAUGCAAGUCGAAUGGUAACAGGAAACAGCUUGCUGUUUCGCUGACGAGUGGCGGACGGGUGAGUAAUGGUCUGGGAAACUGCCUGAUGGAGGGGGAUAACUACUGGAAACGGUAGCUAAUACCGCAUAACGUCGCAAGACCAAAGAGGGGGACCUUCGGGCCUCUUGCCAUCAGAUGUGCCCAGAUGGGAUUAGCUAGUAGGUGGGGUAACGGCUCACCUAGGCGACGAUCCCUAGCUGGUCUGAGAGGAUGACCAGCCACACUGGAACUGAGACACGGUCCAGACUCCUACGGGAGGCAGCAGUGGGGAAUAUUGCACAAUGGGCGCAAGCCUGAUGCAGCCAUGCCGCGUGUAUGAAGAAGGCCUUCGGGUUGUAAAGUACUUUCAGCGGGGAGGAAGGGAGUAAAGUUAAUACCUUUGCUCAUUGACGUUACCCGCAGAAGAAGCACCGGCUAACUCCGUG
rnacentral:rRNA from 1 species